rnacentral:rRNA from 1 species
UACAGAGGGUGCAAGCGUUAAUCGGAAUUACUGGGCGUAAAGCGCACGUAGGCGGUUGGUUAAGUUGGAAGUGAAAUCCCCGGGCUCAACCUGGGAACUGCUUUCAAAACUGCUGAGCUAGAGUACGGUAGAGGGUGGUGGAAUUUCCUGUGUAGCGGUGAAAUGCGUAGAUAUAGGAAGGAACACCAGUGGCGAAGGCGACCACCUGGACUGAUACUGACACUGAGGUGCGAAAGCGUGGGGAGCAAACAGG